rnacentral:lncRNA from 1 species
AUCCAUAUAUAUCAUAGAGUACGUAUAUGAGAUCACAAAGUAUCACAUCUAGCCGGGCAUCUUCAAGUCAUGUACACUCUAGGAGCCCUUGCGACCAUUAGCCUCUACACACAUGCUAAGUUGCAGCUAUACUACUGGAAAGGAGACGAAGCAGAACUACUCGUUGUGUCGAGGGGAUGAAAGCAACACAUCAGGUUGCCUGUAGCUCCGUGUGACGAGUCAUCGCUGAAGCUCCAUCCCUUCUUCAUGUGUCCACUGCAAUUAACCAAACAAGAAAUAAGCUUUGACUUAGAUUCAUCAUAUCAAAUAGAUUCAGAGACUCAAGAGCAUCAUGCAUCAUACUAAAGGGAAUUUUUAUCAAUCAAAUAAACUUGUCAAGCACUUGCAAACAUUAAACAUCACACUAAUUAAUGUUGGUUUAAAAUCAAGCUAAUAUUAGAACCAUGAAUGCGGGCAAAAAUAAACUAAUCAAUGUUUCUUUAAAAAUCAAGCUAAUACAAAAAGCAUGAAUGUUCUGAUGUCGAUUCUGGUAACAGUUUCUGCCCGUGAAUGCAAACAAAUACAAUUUUUAAAAAUAGCACGUGUCAACAGGCUCUCCACCCAUUCUAGAUAAAGAACAAAUCAUCAAUCAUCUCACAAAGAUUGAGUAAUUUAUAUGUCAAAAACCAGAAAAGACAUCAAUAAAUAUUUUUAGUCGUGUUAUAAUUGAAAUAGCAUGGCACGACUAAUCACUAACGUAUAGUGGGCACUAAGAAUUAAGGUUUUCAAUUACCUCAAGAGUCAUAAAUACUAAGCAUGUAAUGGAUGUCAAAGGAAACAAAUUCAGAAUGAAAGAGCACAUGUGUACAUGCUCUUCAACCAUUUAGAUAAAGACCAAUCAGGAGUUGACUGACCAAAAUCCAGUUAUUGGGUUGAUAGAAUCUAGAAAGGACAUAGCUAGAGAUUUUCAAUUGAUAUAACAAAUGGCUCGAUGGCCAUGAAUCGGAGCAUGCUACUAUUGUUGCACGAUGGACACAGGCUUUUGAACGGAGAGGAGGGAGGCAAACGAAGAAGAAGGGAGGGGAUGAAGCUCACCAUGGGAUUUUUGAAGUAGAUGUCAUGCACGACUGCCACCGCGGUUGCGGGGGAGCCAUCCACUGCCGUCUAGGAAACCACCGGAGUGAGCCACUGUCGUGUCAGUGUUUGGCCGUCACGGGCGUGCGUCACACAUCCACCAGGUGUAGGAGCACCGUCCACGAGGGCGAGACAAUGCGGCGAGGACAUAGGUGGCUUCCCAUUUGAACACAAGACAACAAGCUUCAAUCAUAGGGGUUUGCAUAUCUCUACCACAUAGGGAGCCUUUUCCUACAAAUCAAAUUGACAUAACUCGCAUGUGAGCAUACGCACUAACGAAUCAGCCACAUAUUGACCAAAACCCAACAAGCUAGGGUUAAUCAUAUGAUUCCUACAGAACAAACAAACGCUUACCUAUUCACUCAAGCUCUUCCACCUCUCAUCAGUUGCUUUGCCAACCUGAAUAAAAAUUACCACAGAAGGAACUAAUCAGUUCCCAGAUCAUGAUCCCAUCCAUGGCAACUAACAAACUAAUAACUAUAUGUUGGUAUACAAAGCAAAAUAGGUCUGGGAUUUAUUAUAUUGGAAGGAACUUACAGCCGCUAUGAACUUGUUCUUGGGGUUCUUCUAUUUGAACUCCUUGCAGCACUCACCCCUGGCAGAAACCAACCAACGAACACCAGGUUCAGAACAACGGACACC